UAGUCAACAGGUGGCAGUCUGGUACAACCAAUGUGCUGCAUGUCAAAACAGUUGAGAUGAGGCAAAACGAUCAGGAGUAUUAUGGCUCAAAUACAAGUUACUGACACCAUUUAUUGCAUGCUCUCCAUUAUCACAGAAAAUAACUUCAACCUCAGUUUGUAAAAAAAUGUUUUGGCAGAAUUUGAUUUAAAACUGGUUCUGCAGAGAUUGAGUCCUGACACAACAACACAGACCAUGGACCAGAGAUUACCAUUACUGGGAUAUUUUGUUCUGUAAUUUAAAGAGUUCAAUGUGAAUUUAUUCAUUUAAAUAUUCUUCUGAAUUUAGAUGGAACCAACUUCUGUUUCACCUCCAGAUGGAGGUGGUUUUAUUUCCUUUACCAACAACUGAUUUAAGAUUACAUUCACACGUGUAAAACUAAUGUUUCUUAGUGCAAAAGUGAUGCAAACAACAUUUAACAUAUUUGUGAUGCAAAUCAACAACUGGAGAUCAAAAUUUUGUUCACGUUUAACAUCAUUAAUACAUGAACACAUCAUAUCAAACAAGGUUUAUUUAAUACUACGUCAUAUAAACAAAUCUUUGAGACCAUUCCUCUUUACAGUAAAGUUAAUACAUUCCAGCCAAACAGCCAAAGAAAUAUAAAGUGCAAUGUGUUUUCCUCAUACUGAGUGAGUGGACAUUUAAACAAUACAAUGACAAGCAAAAGUAAUUUAGAUAACAUUUUCAUUGUAAUUUAUUUAUUAUUGUGUGAUCCAGUAGAGUGAAUAAUGUGCUCUGUGGUGGUUAUACAAGUAAUCAAACACAAAAUUUGAGUCAGAAAUUCCCAUGGUGACAUCACAUCCUCCAUUGUCUUUGUUCAUUUCAUCAGCCGUAUUUACUCACAGCAGAGUCACACAGAGAAACAGCAUGAAUAAUACACUCCUGAGUUUCUCUGUCACAUGUAUGUGGCUCACAGCUUCCACUCUCGGUAACACUGUUCACCAGACUCCUUCUGACAUCACUUCCUCCUGCUUGAGCCUUUAAUUCAUAGCAGAAUCACUUUGUAAAAAGAGCUGACAUGAUGAACUCUUUCCUUAGCACAUUUGUAUAUCUAAUGAUAAUAACAGCUGCUUGUCUUGGUAAAAAUGUUGAUCAGACGCCUGUGAACCUCAUCAAGAAUCAAGAUGAAUCUGCUCUGAUCUCAUGCACUCAUAAUAUACCGAGCUAUGACCAAAUUUAUUGGUACAAACAAAGUCAGGACUUAUUG